rnacentral:rRNA from 1 species
AUGGGGCGAACCACAGUUAACCCUAUUUGGAGUAAGAUAUGGAAGUUAUCUUGCCCGGCAAAAGUGAAAAUUUUUAUAUGGCGUACGCUUCAUGGAACUCUCCCAUGUCGGGUUACACUUGCUAAUAGACAUAUGAAGGUUUCACCCACUUGCCCCACUUGCUCAGAGGGCUUAGAAGAUACAAAACAUAUGUUUUUCCGUUGUAGGAAAGCAAAGGAGGUUUGGAAAAGGCUAGGGAUAAUUGAUAUAAUCGAUAAAGCGUGCGAGGUAGACCAUGCUGGAGAGGCGGUGUUGGAGUACUUACUACUUCUCCCGGACCAAGAAUUGAGGAUGAUAGGUCACCACAAUGUGCGUGAGAUGAUUGCUGUCUCAACAUGGUAUUUAUGGUGGGAAAGACGAAAGUUAGUGCAUAAGGAGACAACCCAAAAUGCCUUGCAGAUUUUAAUGGGUGGUUUAGCACUUACCACAAACUUUGUUAAUGCUUCAUAG